rnacentral:ncRNA from 2 species
UUCUUAUCGAGAGAGGUGGAGGGACUGGCCCUACGAAACCUCGGCAGCGGACUCUUAGAAGUACUGUGCCAAUUCCAGUAGUUAUUUACUUGAAGAUGAGAA